GAACGCUUAGUUGAUCAAGAUCUGAUUCAAUUUGUGGAUUGCGUAGUUGUCAAUGGAUGGGACUUCACAACCAAAUUAUUUUGCUCUUGUCACUUCUUAGACUCAAACUCAGGACAAUUAUUAAUUUUGAAUUUCUUCUGGAUUUUAAAUUUGAAUUUCUAGUACAUGUUUCAGGGAGGGAAGACUGUCCCACAAACAUCCAGAUCUCAGGCUGUUCUUACAGACCCCGCCAGUUUGGUCAGGUCCCAGGGCAGACAGGAGCUGGAGCGCAGGGGGAGGGAGGAGAGGCUGGCCUGAUGCUGGCGCUGUGUGAUGAAGACAGGUUCCGGCUGUCAGGCCCCAGCUCCCGAGGCUGUGUGGUUGCGAGGCCUUCUCUUCGGGGGCCUGCGGCUGUGCUGGUUUUAGACUCACUGCUGCCGCUCUGCUCCAUGCGCAUCCUGCUGUGCACCUUGCCGGCAGCUCUUCUUACCUAGGGAACUAGUGUUUCUCUGAACUUGUGGGUCCAGGAUAACCAACAACAAACUGAGGGGGGGCUUCAUAGUUCGGGGAUGGCGGGGAGAGAGAGAGAGAGAGAGAGGAGAACCUGUCUCUGAGGUGUGAUCUGUCCCCUGGCGUUUAGUUCACGACCCCAGGCUGCGUGUACUUCUGUUUCUGCAGCUCGUCUUUCCUUAUAUCCCCCGUAAGAGGAAUAAGCCUGCUGUACAGGGUCAUCAAGUGUGUUUCCUUCUCUGCUUCUUCAAAGACACAUUUAAGCCCCUCGAUUGAAUUGUUGCUCGUCGUGUUCAAGGAAAACAGUGGCGUCUCCUGUCCAUAGACAGGGAAGGUGCUAUGUGUACCUUGCUCUUUGGAGCCCCGGGUCCUAGGGGAAAGGACUGGAUAGUUUCUGUGCUUUUUACUGCAAGUGUUUGCAGGCAAGGCUCUCUGCUAACCCAGUAAAUACUCACUGACACGGAUGCUCACGCGUGUACAGAGCAGAACAUGUUUUCCAGGUGGCUUCUAAGAUUUGUAUUUUCUGUUUUCGUCACUGCUUGGAACAGAUCCUUUUAUCCCACCGUGUUAGAGCUCUGUGAAAAUAUAAAUAUUUUCGUUGUGACAACAUGCUGUAAUAAGGAAUUUGGUCACUGCAUUUCCCCCUUCUAGCAUAGUCUUUGCUCUACUUUGAUAUUUCUUGUGUCAUUCAUCAUGCAUUUUAUGUCCUCAUUUUUCACUCUGGAGAUUGUUGAGGAUUUGGUGAUGUUUCCUGUGAAUAUGUUUACUCCUCAGCAGAGUCCUGUCUCUGAUACUCCCUGUGGCGGAGGAAAAGCGGCAGGCAUUGUAUAUUAUCUGGCAGGGUCCUCCCAAACCAUUUAUCUGAAGCUGAUUUUAACGCCCUCUGCUUCACAGACCGUCUUUUUCUUCUUAGGUAAGGUCUUACUAAAAGGAAACACCUGUUUGAAUAUGUAUAAAUUAGAGUAAAUAUAAACAGAAGGACUUCUUAACACAUGGGAUUUUCCUUAUCUAUUUUCUAAUGAUUCCUGGCACAGAUAGACUGGGGAUAUGACCUAGGACUCUAAGUUUGACCCAUUAGCUAUUUUUCUUCUUCUUUUUCUUUUUUUUACAUGGUGAGUUGAAAGCCAUUUCCCGCCAGGCCACUGUGGACAUUGCUGAGCCAUGACCACGACAGUACUGUAAGCAUCUUGAUUGGUGCCAUCCACACUCAGGGUGUGGCUUCCAUUACCCACACCUAGAGCUAUGGCCCACCCAGAGUUGGCUGUUUUAUACGACUAAGGCCAGAGAGAGCACAGAGCAAUGUGCACUGCAUGGAUGCGUCACAUGGCAGCUCUGUUUAAACGUUCAGGAAUGGCCAGCAGUGACAUUAACUAAGGGAAUCUUCCUAGUAUCCUGGAGUUGUUCUCUUUGGGAAGGCGAUUUAAGGCUAAGGAAUGAGAGAUACAUAUCAUCUGAUGAAGCUGUACGCAGGACAGAAUGGCUGCAUGGGAACAGGAAGCAGAGGGGCAUUUUGUAGAUGCGGUGGGAUGCAAAACAUACAGCACAGCACUGGGAAGUACGCGCAGCCCAGCACACUGCAUCACUCACCAUGCUGGUCGUGUGACCAGUAGGGAGCUGUGGCCCAGCAUUCAGAGCAUCCUACCGCUUAUCGCCAGACUAGGAAAAGAACACAUUUCAAAAUUUGAAGGUACAUCAAAAAAUUGUAAGUCGAGCCAUUUUAAAGCAGGCAGUAGCUGUAUUGGCAAACGGAGUCCUGAAUUAGACUCGGCUGUGGGUUGCACCGUGUCUCCCAGAAGAUAUUACAUGUGGAAUUCCCAGUCUCACUGUUCUUCAGAAGGUGACCUUAUCUGGAAAUACAGGCAUCCCGAAUGCAGUUAGCGGAAUUAGGACGGGGACCCGCUGGAAUAGGGUGGGCCCUUACUUCAGGAGAACUGGUGUUCUGGUGAGGUGACUUUAGACACAGAGACAGGGAGGAAAUAGAAGGCCGUGGAGACAGAGGCAGAGGUUGGAGUGAUGCAUCUGUAAGACGGGCGCGCUAGAGAUUGCUGUUUAUCAUGACAGGGUUUCCCUCUGCACCACAUAAAGAACCAGCUCCUCUGGCGCUGAGUUCAGACUUGUAGCCUCCACAGUCCUGUUGUCUUGAGCUGCCCGUUUGUGGCAACUGAUUACAAACGCCGCAGCGAAGUCGAAGAGGUCCCUAAGCCAUGUGAGGCUGAAAGAAGAGAGUCGCAUCUGAGCCCACUCAGCGAGAGAUUUAGUGAUUUAGUGAGGUCCUGUCUCAAAAAAAUGACAAAAGCCUGGGGAUGUAGCUCAGUGUGAAGGCCUUGGGCUCAAUCCCCAGAAAAUGAAAUGAAAUGAAUCAGGCCUCUAGCUUCUUGCCAAACUGCCUAACAACCUUAUUUCAAUUUCUUUUCUUGUGGAACAGAAAUAACGCCAGGCCAUCAUGAGAGUCUCUGAAGAUGAGAUUGGGCAUCUGAACCAAAAUGAAUGUCUGCAUCUCCUGUCUCAUAGAGCCUUUUCUCCAGGACCUCUCCCUGCUUUGGGUUCAUGGCCUAUAUUUGCCCUAUCACGUACUAGGUGCUUGGUGGUGCAUUCACUGGUGGAGCAGUUUCACGCAGUGUCACUAUGUGACUUUCUCACUGAUUUGUAGGGCCCUUGAUCAUGUUUAGCAAGGCUUAGGAGGCUAAGGCUGUUCCUUAGAAACACACUGAUUUCUCUUAAGUUUCGCUGAAUGUCCCAAAGCUUCUCCAUCUAUUCAUUCACUUAUUCAUUGACUCAUCCCUUCCUCCCUCAUUUAUUCCACGCCCCGUAGAGUAUCUGUGUAUGUCAGACUCCUUUGUUUAUGUUGGGCAAGCAGUGGUGAGUAAAACCCAGUAGUGUGGGCCCUACAGAGCUUGCAGAGUCCAGGAGAAGAGAUCAGACAGAUGUUUUUACAAAGCACUUUAUUAAUACAUGCAAAAUCAGAACUGUGAAAGCACAUCAAAGGAGAGCAGUGCUUAGCUCUAAUAGACUGUAAUGGUGAGAUGUGACCCUCUUAGGGAGGUCGGAAAGGCCUUUUGACAAAAGCUAAUCUGAAGAACGUGCAGAGAGUCAGCCAGGUGGAAAGCAGGAAACAAAUAGACGGAGAGAGCACUACUGUACGUGGAAAGCCCUGGUCAGAUAAAAGGGUACAUUGGGGGCUGACCUUUGAUUGUAUGCGCAGGGUGUAUGAGGGGUGCCAGGUGCUUGGUAUGAGGCUGGACAGGUAGGAAAGCAACUAGAGGGCACAGAGUCCUCAAUACUAUGUGUUUCCCAAGACGAGAGAGAGAGAGAGAGAGAGGCCUCACCAUCGCCCUUGUGAGUCUUGCGCUCAGGACAGGCUUGUCUCUUGAUGGAGGAGGUAGGGGCAUCUACCUCUGCUCCCUGCAUUCCCGCCCCUUCCAUGCCUUCUCAGCUCUGCCUGCAUGUGCUCUCUGGUCCUAUGCUUGCAGUCUGGGAUGAGAGUUCCUCCCCGCUUGUUGUAAUACAACUUCAAGGUUCAGGGUGCCUUAAGAGUCACUGUCCAAGGUUCCCCAACUCAACUGGACUCUACCACAGGAACUAAGAAUGUUUUCAAAAGUUUUGUUCUAAGGAAACCCCCACUUGGCAUAUAUUCUGGGUCUGGACUUUGGGCAAAAAUUGGUAUUCACAAGAAGUAGGGGAGUUUCAGUGCUAACUUAAAUGUCAGAGAUGCAGAACUGUUAAUUUACAUUUGGCUUGCUGACCUUGAAGUCAGCAGAGCACAUUUAAUCAAACAGCCAAUCUCCAAAGCACAGUAAGAGACAAAAGGCAAAACAAACAAGAUAAAACCCCCACAAAAAACCCUCAUAAGACAGAUAAAUCAUUUUAAAUAUCUGUAACCUGUCUCUUAUUUCAUCCCCUUUGAAGUAUAGUUUUUGUCACUUUACAAUAGGAAGGUAGAAUACAUGUGUUAUUAUUAUCAUUUUCAUAUAUGAAGCUACCACCGACAGUGGCAAGUUAUACCCCGAGUUCUCAGUACUGUUGAUAGUUCUGCGUGAAACGAAAUCGUAUCUCCUGUCUUACCUGGACUUCUCUGUAGCCAGAAGAAUGCAUCCUCCCGAUGACAAAGUAAAACACAUGGUAUGACUAAGAAGUAGCUUUCUUCUGCACUGCUAACCAGCUACUGAAAUAGCAACAGAACUUGGCCUCUUUAACACCUCCCUUCAAGGGCUGACUAGUCCUGGCCUAUGAGCAGGGGUAGCAGCAUGUCUUUGACAUCUUUAAUUAUAGUAUCUGUUGCAGAAAAGGACAGAUAAGCCAAUUAUAGUAUCUGUUGCAGAAAAGGACAGAUAAGCCAAUGGUGGGGAAGCUCUAACAAUUAAGGCUGUUCUAAUUCCAAGAGUGGGCUCUGCCCUAUUGAAGUUCAGUUGCUUCGCAUUUAUUUACAAGCAUUCAGUUCCAAUUCCCAGGGGCUGGGAGGUUCAGGCCCUGGCAGCCUGUUACAGGUUUGAUUUGUAAAUUAGAAAGGCAGUAUUUUGCAGGGAAAAUUGACACUUGCUAGAAGAUUACACACCUUGUCAUUCAGUCUGUCUGUUUUCCUCUCAGGAGCCCAAUGUAGGCAAUGCUUAACAGGAAGUAUAGUUUCCUAAAUAGCUGUGUUUGAGUUACUAUCUGAGCAAAAAUAGAACAGAAAUUAGAAUAUUAUUCCAGGGAAGGGGGAGGGAAUGCAUGCUCAGAGUUAGAUGAUGGCAAGUAAGAGAAAGGAAUAUUCCCUGACUAAAACAAAGAGGGACUUUACAGGAAGGACAUCAGAAACUCUCAGAACUGAAGGGACUCAGGAGAUACAGGGUGGAUAUCAAGGCAAUAGCAACCAAAACUACUGAACAAUUUGCUCAGAGGGAGUGAGGUCCAGCAAGUUUCAGCCUUUUCCUCUGCUGGACCUGGCUUUUGAAAUGUCAUCAGGCUGUUAAAAUUUUAUUUAGCCCAUAAGUAGUGUCUGUAUUAUGUGUCAAAAGCUAUAAAAGACCUGAACUUGGAGAAUGUAAUAUGAAUGUCUACAAUGCACAUUAGACUAAAUUCACAAUAGAGAGGCACAAUCAAGACUUUCGACUCCAAAUAUGAACAGAGGACAGGAAUUUAGGAAGCUGGGGAACAACUCCAGGGGAAGGGCACUAGAGAUAGGCACUUGGAGAUAGGUUUUCCUAGAGAAGUCAGAAGCAUUUCAAACUAGGAUGUGCGUAAUUAAUACAGCCCGGUGUGAGCUCACUGUGAGCCCCUCACUUGCUUAAGUCCCUCCUUCUCCUGCCCCCACCUUUGUGACUGCGGUAACGGGGUCUAGCUCAGUGAUGGAGCUUUUGCUGGAGAGAUCCCUUUGCUCUAGGGAGGUUAUAUGUGGGAGAGAAGGAAAGGAGAAAGACACACACUGUACUACAAAGCAAUAAAAAAUAAGCUUCUCCCUGUAUAUCUUUUGGAGGGUAAGUAACAGACGACAAACCUGAAAGCAGGAAAUGAGGUGGUCUCUCUUUUGAUUUGUCUCCUGUAGGAAAGGGCUUCUUAGCCUUGCCUACUUUGGGAAGGGGCAAGUGCUCUUAGGGUCCGAAGGCAUAAAACACUAAGCUUCACUCACCCCAGAACAGGGGUUUGGGUCCUGAAAAGCCCGUGUUUUAGUAUAGUUUUCUCCGGUGAGCAGUGCUGAGCAUGACCCAGUGUUGUAAGAAGAGGGCCAUCAGUAGCACGGCGGACUCACUCGUGCAUGCACCCAUUCACGUUUAUCGGACCGACUGGAGCCUGGCCCUGACUGAGGCUCGACGCUGGGGUAGAGGACGGGUGCCGCUUCCUUGAAUUGCCUGUUUUCUCAGCUGUAAAGCAGGAGCUUCAGACUUAAUGCCUUUGGUUUGCCGUUCCCAGAGCUCACAAAGCCUACACCCGAAGGCUGGAGCAGUGUCGGAGGAGCGGGAAAAGGGAGGCUGCUGCUUUCCCUCUGCUCCCUGGCAGGAGGAGUCCUCCAGAAGGUGCUGGCCAUGCGCCCCUGUGCGCGGCCUAGCGGUCUGGUAUUUGCCGAAAGCUUCGGUGCAAUGCAAGAAGAUGCAGUGUGUGGGGACGCGAUGGACCUGCAGCUCACAGUGGAUUUACUGCCCGGCAGGGAGGCGGUGCUGUGCGGGCUUCACGCGAUCGGACUUCCUCGAGCAGAGCCGGGUUUAUCCAGCCUUUUACACCGACUACCUCAGGAGACCAAGGGGCAGUACGUUGACUUGGAACCACUUUUCGUCAAAGUUCUUCCUUGUUGACCUUUGGUUCCCCUCUCGCCGUGCUGUGCUUCUGGGUUUCUCCACAGAGCUUCUGUCACGGUCUUUGCACCCAAAGGGGGAUGCUUACGUGUGAAUUUUUUUUUUCAGUCUGGUGCAUUUAUCUUCUCUGCUCGAAUCCCAACAAAUGGCCACCAAAAAAGGCUUCAAAAUUGCCAGCCUUGAGACUCCUUGAGGUCCAGGUCCAAUUCGUACAUGACUUGUUGUCUUUUCCUCCCGUCUCACGCAGCACCCUUGACUGUGACACCUGCUAGUAGGAAGAGCUCAACAAUUUUCUUCAAGGACAACAUCUCAGAGCUGUUUACAGGUACCAACCGGGGCUUCAACAGAAACACCGAAUGUGGAUGGGAUUUAGGGGGUGUCGGGAGAGUUAACAAAGUAGUUUCCAAGGGAUGUGAGCUCCUAAGUGGUUCUUUCCCCCAAAAUGGGUUCCCUGAAGUUCAGAAGUAGAAGCCUUCUAAGUCGGUGGGUGGAGAACCAGGAAAAGGUAGAGACUGGCUCUGGAUUUAGGUUUAGUCAAUUGUCAAAGUUCUGAGGAGACUCUUCAGGUCCCCGAUCCAUGAUUCACGCCUCUGUGGUCAGACCUCGCGAGUCCCAGGCCCUGGGCUUUGGAGGUUACAGCUCAUCCUCCUGGCAGCUUUAGCCAAGGCCCACUGCUUAGGAAAUGCUCCAUUUUCCAGAGAGGGACUAAACAGUAAAAACUACAGGACACUUUCCCAUUAUAUAGUACUGUCAUGGGGUAACAUUGAAAAAUUCGGAACAAAUAGAGAAAAAGUAAAUUCCUCCCAGCCUGGGAAUAUUAAACCUUCUCAGGAUUACUCUUGGCUUGGGGACCCUGUGGGCCUUCCCCUCAGCCCGGACCCUGGCUGACCGACCACAUCUGUCUAGAAUAUCAACGCAGAGGGGCAAGACUUUGAUAUUUUGCACCAAGAGUUACAUUCUCUGCCCAGAAGUAACAGUCUCCUUCCCUCACUACCUAAACACUUAAGCACAGGGGUUCGAAAAAGGAAACUCCGAACUCUUAGGGUUAUCAGCGGGAGGUGCCGCACAGAGACGGGCGGCUUCUGCCCCCUUCUCUCCGUGGACGCGUGUUUACGGCUCUAGUGUCCACCACUGUCUGCUCGACUAACUUAAGUUCAGCGAGAAGAGCCACGCUUGGCACCGGGCGGCCGGACAGGAUCCCCCGCUCCGAUACUGGCCCCAAGCCCAGGCAGCGGAGGCUGGAAGGCUGGGGCUGGGCGUGAGCUUCCUGCCAGGUGGCCCGGUGGUGGAGACGGUAAGGUUGUUUCUAGGGAUCCCCUUCGGCCCACUGUCCCUUUGCUCAAUCCGGCUUCUGUCACCUUCUCUGUUGUCGCUCUGGUCCCCGUGUGGGCGAUGUGAAGGCUCCUUCCCGUGGGGUGGGCUCCCCAGGAAGACCCGGAGAGGCUGCCUCCCCCGGUGCUGCUCUGCCCCGUGCCUCAUUCGUCAGCCUCCCUUGCUCCAGACGCGUCCCGCUGGUACCGCCCCUGUUCAGGUCCCGAAAGGAUGAGCUUAGAUUGAGAUUCACAGCGGUGCCUGCGUGCAGCCGCGUUCCGUCCGGUUCGGGCCGAGUCCCGGCUGCGAGCGGAAGGUGAGACGCCCUCACUCGGCGACCCU